GUCCACGCCCUAACGAUGAUUACUCGACAUUAGCGAUAUUACUGUUAGUGUCUAAGCGAAGCAUUAAGUAAUCCACCUGGGAAGUACGACCGCAAGGUUGAACUCAAAGGAAUUGGCGGGUCCGCACAAGUGGUGGAGCAUGUGGUUUAAUUCGAUGAUACGCGAGGAACCUUACCUGUGCUAGAAUGCAUUUUGACCGCAGGUGAAAGCCUGUUUGUAGCAAUACACAAUUUGUAAGGUGCUGCAUGGCUGUCGU
rnacentral:rRNA from 1 species